AUGAAGGCGAUGUUUGUGUCACCGGAAGGGAGGGGGAUCACUGUCGAUGUGGUGACGUGGAGGUCCUGCAUGAGCGCGCACACACACCAGGACAGAGUACCGGAUGUGCUUGGACAUCGACCUCUAGGUGACAGUCCAUGGUCAAAACCGAGUCGCGGUGUUCACAAUGAUGGGCACUAUUUAUAUCGAAGGACGAGGAGGACGAUUUGGAUGACCGUAACCACAAUGGCAAGGGCAGCAACAUGGUCGUCACCUGCAAUGCCGUUGGGUACUGAGAUUAUGAUGUUUGGUUUAUUUGUUGAAAGUUACAGCCCAUGUUUCAUGAUUUAUUUGCCGCCAGUUAAUCAUGAUAUUUUGAAGUGCUCUGGCAAUUGCUUGCUGUCUGCAUCUCUUACUUUUCAACUUGCUGCAUAUACAGAUAUACACCAUUAG
rnacentral:rRNA from 1 species